CCUCUCGGUGAAAGUUUCAAUUUUUUCCUACUUUGAUUCUAGGGGUUUUAGUGGAACCCUAACUUUCUUCUUCUUCAGCUGUUUUGUAGGUCAAUCGGUCGAUUUUGGUGGAGGAGGACUGCAUCAAGGCGGAGACGGAGGCUUCGAAGGGCCCGGUGGAUACCACCACGCUGCACCUUCACAACCUCCUGUAUGAGAAGAGCCACUACCUGAAGGCUAUCAAGGCUUGCAAAGAUUUCCGGUCCAAGUAUCCUGAUAUUGAGCUCGUGCCUGAAGAAGAAUUCUUAAGUAGCGCGCCGGAGGAAAUCAAGGGGAUGGCGAUGGCGGGCCACGUGGCGCAUGAUUUGAUGUUGAAGAGGCUCAACUUUGAGCUAUUUCAGAGAAAGGAGCUUUGCAAGCUUCAUGAGAAACUGGAACAGCAUAAAGCAAGUCUUCUUGAUGCCAUAUCUGGUAGAAAGAAGUUUCUAUCAAGUCUACCGUCACAUUUGAAAUCUCUGAAGAAAGCAUCUUUACCAGUGCAACAACACCUGGGGUUUUCCCAUACCAAGAAAUUGAAGCAGCUUCAUGCAGCAGAAUUUCUUCCACCACCUCUUUAACAUUGUACUCACAACUUUUGGCACAGAAAGAAGCAUUUGGAGAGAAGAUUGAAAUGGAGAUUUUGGGGAGUGUGAAGGAUGCUCAAACCUUUGCUCUGCAACAAGUAAACAAGGAAAUGGGACAGCAGGAGUUGAUACCUCUUUUCUAUCUUGAGUUCAACACUCUGGGUUAAGUGUUGUGCAUCCUUCACCAACACAAUCUACUUUUAGUUGUCUAGAAACCCAAGCCUGUGUAAGUUUUGACAUUUAGUAUUUUCGAGUUAGUGUUUUAUUUUGUUGCCAGUAACAAAAUAAUAGACAAAUUACACUGUUAGCUCUA